rnacentral:sRNA from 1 species
AGAUAAGUUGUACUGGACACAUGGCUAUGUGCUCAUCUCCAAAGAGGUGGAGGACUGUGUUCCCGUGUUUCUGAAGCACAUUGCCCACGACAUAUACGUCUGCGGGAAGACCAUUAACCUGCUGAAGCUCUGCUGCCCCCGGCAUUACCUCUGUUGGUCCGACGUCCCCGUCCCCCGGAUCUCGGUGAUUUUCUCCCUUGAGGAGUUGAAGGAGAUUGAGAAGGACUGUGCCGUCUACGUUGGGCGCAUGGAGAGGGUGGCCCGCCACAGCUCUGUCAGCAAGGAGGAGAAGGAGUUACGUAUGGAAAUUGCAAAACAAGAAUUAAUCGCUCAUGCCCGGGAAGCAGCAUCCAGGGUCCUGAGUGCACUGAGUGACCGGCAGAUGUCAGAACGGAUGGCCUUGGACGCCCGGAAGCGUGAGCAGUUUCAGAGGCUGAAAGAACAGUUUGUGAAGGACCAGGAGGUGGGUAGGACCUGUCCCUGCGGGGUCAGGCCUGUCAGUCCUGAUUUCACAGGACAGGCUCUGUGUGUUUUAUAGCGACGCCAGGCGGCCAGGCAGGAGGAGCUGGAUGAUGACUUCAGCUACGCCCGUGAGCUCCGAGACAGGGAGAGAAGGCUGAAGUCCCUGGAGGAGGAGCUGGAGAGGAAGGCGAGGUAGGGCAGCCCGGGCUCCAGGCCCAGGGGUGAAGUGCGGCAGGGGCCCCGUAGCUCUGGCUUAAUAUUACUGAUGAUUUUACUGUUUGUUUUGAAAACCUUCAAACAUACAUUAAGGUAGAAAGACCAAUAUGCUGAACCCAGAGUGGCUGUGGGCAUUCUGCUGUAUCCAGGUGUCCUUAGCUGUUCUGCGUGUUGUCUUGUGGGUGGUUUGUAUGGAUUAGGGUUCAGGCAAGGCCUGCGUACUGUUUGGGGUCCUGUCUCUUUAUUUAUCUUCUUUCUAAACAUCCCCCCUUAUUUAUUUUUAAGUCUGUUAUUGGUCAGACAGAGACAGGGCGUUUUUUUUUUUUUUAAACGGAGUCUUGCUCUGUCACCCAGGAUGGAGUGCAGUGGCACAGUCUUGGCUCACUGUAACCUCCGCCUCCCAGGUUCAAGCAAUUCUCCUGCCUCAGCCUCCUGAGUAGCUGUGAUUACAGGCAUCCGCCACCACAUCCAGCUAAUUUUUUGUAUCUUUAGUAGAGAUGGGGUUUCACCAUGUUGGCCAGGCUGGUCUCAAACUCCUGACCUCAGGUGAUCCAUCUGCCUCGGCCUCCCAAAGUGCUGGGAUUACAGGUGCAAGCCACCAUGCUCAGCUGAGACAGGGCAUUUGUCCAGCACAGCAUCUGAGUCUGUCUCCCUGUGCUGUCAUCGGCCUGUCCAGGGUUUGUCUAGCACAGCAUCUGAGUCUGUCUCCCUGUGCCGUCAUCGGCCUGUCCUGUGCUGUCAUCAGGUUGUCCCAGGCUGAGUAGUGCUGGAUCCUUCAAGGGGCUGUUCGGGGUUUUGGAGAGAGCCCCUCACAGGAGGGGCUGGCCGCUUCCUGCUCAGCCCCACGCGAUGCUGUAGGUCCAAACCUUAGAUCUGUUUAUGGAGCCAGCGAGGGAUGUGUGUGGAGGGGUUCGCAUGCCUGUGUGCAUGCAUGUCCGUGUGUGCAUUUAUGCAUGUGUACGUGUUCGUGCAUGUAUGUCAGUCGAUACUGUCCUGUUAACACAUGGAGAAAACCAGGCCUAGACACUACGUCUCUGGCCUGUGGCAGCCAAAUUAGAGCUGGCCAGUCCAGGUUUGAGCCCAGUUGCCUGCUGGUGAGAAGCUCAAAAUCAUGGGGCACGAUCAGUGAGGCAGGCUUUGAAUUCAGCAAAUAAAGUGUUUGUGUUGGUUUUGCUUC